UCCUCAGGGAGGAUGUGCCGAUGUAGGACAAUCCCCUCCUCCAGGCAGACCUCCGUCAUGGAUCCCGGCUCUCCAGGAGCCCCUUACUUACACCUGCAGCCCAUGGUUCUGGGACACAGCACCCCAUCAGCCGGAUGCCCUGUCGUGGCCCAAGUCCCCAGCAGCAGCAAGCUGGCACGCUUGGGUGCAUUACGCCUGAUUUCUGAGCACCGUCCCUGAAGAAAUGACCCUCCGGACUCAGGCUGCCCACUCCUCUCUGGAGAACUUCAUACGUCAGAUCUAAUGUCCGCUGGCCCUGGGCUCAGCCAGGAAGGACAUCAUCUCAGAAUAGAGAACAGUCCUGGCCAAGAGAGCUCCUCGGACCCAUCAUUCUGUCGUCCCAUCAUUCUCAAAGUCCAGGGUACUCAUCAUCGCCUGGGGUUCGUGAGCAUUUCUCGACACAAGGACCUGGCACCAGGACAGGACGACGUUCCUGGCGUCCUCAACCUCAUUGGUCAGUCAUCCUAGCACAUGUCGCAAGGAGCCGCGUCACCCCGAGGUGCCCUCACCCCAGCCUGGCACAGCAGCUCAGUCCGUCCCUUCUCUGGUUCUGCAGAAACUCCAUCCUGAAGCCACGGAGUGGGUUGAAGCAAGGUGGAUGUCCAUGCCAGGAGGAAGGCACCACGGAGGAGCACAGUAGAGACGGCACUCCUCAGAGCCUGGCUGAGGUGAGCCUGAAGCCACCGAGAGCCGGCAGAUGAGCAGUGGUGACACACAGGCCCGUUGAAGGGCUCCACUGUCAGAAGCUCCCAAAUCUGAGGAUAUCUGGAAACCUCUGAGCAUCAGGAGAGGUGACGAUGGUAACGGAUGGGGAUCCACUGAGUGAAGUGACAACCAAGAGUCCACACGGAGAGAAAUAACUACAGGAAUCAAUACAUCAGGAGUCAGACGAGAGGCUGGGGCACCUGGGGGGUUCAAUCGGUUGCGUGUCUGAC